AAUAUUGCGCAAUGGGCGAAAGCCUGACGCAGCGACGCCGCGUGGGGGAAGAAGGCCUUCGGGUCGUAAACCCCUUUCAGCAGGGACGAAAUUGACGGUACCUGCAGAAGAAGCGCCGGCCAACUACGUGCCAGCAGCCGCGGUAAUACGUAGGGCGCAAGCGUUGUCCGGAUUCAUUGGGCGUACAGGGCUCGUAGGCGGUUUGGUAAGUCGGGUGUGAAAACUCAGGGCUCAACUCUGAGACGCCACUCGAUACUGCCAUGACUAGAGUCCGGUAGGGGAGUGUAGAAUUCCUGGUGUAGCGGUGAAAUGCGCAGAUAUCAGGAGGAAUACCGAUAGCGAAGGCAGCACUCUGGGCCGGUACUGACGCUGAGGAGCGAAAGCGUGGGGAGCAAACAGGAUUAGAUACCCUGGUAGUCCACGCCGUA
rnacentral:rRNA from 1 species